rnacentral:rRNA from 1 species
AUUGAACGCUGGCGGCAUGCCUUACACAUGCAAGUCGAACGGCAGCAUGGAGAGCUUGCUCUCUGAUGGCGAGUGGCGAACGGGUGAGUAAUGCAUCGGAACGUACCGUGUAAUGGGGGAUAACGUAGCGAAAGUUACGCUAAUACCGCAUACGACCUGAGGGUGAAAGCAGGGGAUCGCAAGACCUUGCGUUAUACGAGCGGCCGAUGUCAGAUUAGCUAGUUGGUGAGGUAAAGGCUCACCAAGGCGACGAUCUGUAGCGGGUCUGAGAGGAGGAUCCGCCACGCAGGGAGUGAGACACGGCGCAGACUCCUACGGGAGGCAGCAGUGGGGAAUUUUGGACGAUGGGGGCAACCGUGAUCCAGCCAUGCCGCGUGAGUGAAGAAGGCCUUCGGGUUGUAAAGCUCUUUCGGCCGGGAAGAAAUCGCACAGGCUAAUACUCUGUGUGGAUGACGGUACCGGCAUAAGAAGCACCGGCUAACUACGUGCCAGCCGCCGCAGUAA